CGGUCCGGUCAGCCCCGGGCGGCAAGGACGAAGUGGGCAGACAGAUGGGGAUUUAAGCUUUCAAUAGCUAAAACUCAAAACAUAUUUCACAAGAAGGAUUAAUAGACCUGCACUUGAAUGGAAAUUAUAUAGUAGGUUACUUGAACUGUCGGCGGUCACAUAUUACAGCACUUUGCCAGCAACAGAUGAGGAAUUAACAGGACUUCAGUUACCCACUCUUUGUCUUCCACCCUUCAACAAUGGAGUCACAUUUCAGGUUUUCCAACUCACUGGGAUCUUCCUGGAACACACACUAACUCGACAUUUUCCUGGACUGGAAGGUAGAGGGAGUCGGAGACUGAGAUUUCGUUAGCUGCAGCCUGGCAAUGUCUUAAGAGAUCCGUCUGCUCUCAUUUACUGUACCUGUGUUUCCAAAGACCACCUACAAAAGUUGGGAACGUGUUAGUAGUGUUAUCCAUGGCUGUCUCUCUACCCAGAAACCCCCACGAGGGAAGAGACCCGUCUAUCCUGCCACUGUUGCAGCGAUGCGCAUGCGUCGCAGAGAUGACGGCAAACCUUCACUCAUCAGCAGAAACCUGGGACAGAGAAAUCGAAUAAACAGAGACCGUCUCGGAGUGCAGGGCUACGGUGUGUCCAGCCUCACAGCAGUAGUCUCGCAGUUUCGCUGCGCACGCCAAUAACAAUGAAACCCCCAACCGGAAUCUCGUUCUUACCUGCUACCGAUUUUAAGACCCUUUUCUCACUGAGCGCAUGCGCGAAUUCGGAGCCUGUCUGCGACCCUUACGGCUGCGCAUUUAAUUGUUGGAGCUCGCCGGCGAAUUGGGCAUCGCGAAGGUUACUGGAGAAAAUGAGACUACAGUGUAUGAGCCUUCCACGAAGAACACGAAUCAUUCCUGCAGUCACUUUGGUAUUCGGUGCCAUGAGAUGAAUAUUGAGCUAUUGCAACAGCUGUUUGUAGGAUCUGAUCCACCCAGUGGCCGACCGUACAUCCUUAGCCCUCCCUCGGCUGUCACUCAAGUUGGCCUGGGACACGGUUCCCACUGCGAGGCUGCAUGCAGCUCCUGGUGGCCUCUCGUCAGUUGGUCAUUCUGUAGAUGGGCUCACCUAUGUCCAGGUGUAGAGGAUGAUGGUAGUUAUUGUGGUGGCCGCACCACCAAAGUCAGUCCCACUCAUCCUAACAACCAACACCGUCAGCUAUGGCCGCACUCCAGCUUCCCAUGUGAGGUCCAGCGUCGUAGGAUACCAGCAGACUGGAUUCGGGACUAGUGAAGCCAUCAUCAGUUCCCUGCAACCAGGCCAUCCGGCCGACAGAGCCAUCUCACAGGACUUCUCGUCACUGCUGCUGAAGAACAUUCCCCAUAGCAUGAUGUUACAUGCACCAUAUUUUGCUGUACAGAUGAGAUCGCCUGGCUGAUGCGCAGUUUUAGAUUUAACUCACACACAAUUUUUUUUUAAAAAAACUACCAUUGUUCGUAAAUAUUCUGCAAAGUACCACGUAAGAGAUAUCGAAAAUAUGCCGAAUAAGGAGUUAUGUUCCAAUGAGACAAAAGUGGAUUGUUUUGGCUUCAAUGCUAAGCGGUACGUCUGAAGUAAAUCUGAUACUGUGCCAGGUAAAUUCAUUUAGCCAGGUACCACCACUCCUACUAUAAAGUAUAGUGGAGCGAGCAUGAUGCUAUUGGGAUGCUUUUCUGCAGCAGCAGGUACUGAAGAUCUUGCCGGGAUUGAUGGGAAAAUCAUUACCGAUAAAUAUAGAGAGAUCCUGGAUAAAAAUCUGAUAGCCUCUGCAGGAAAGCUUCAGCUGGGGAGAAAGCUUGACUUUCAGCAGGACAACGACCCGAAGAACGCUGUCAGAUCAACCAUGGAGUGACUUCAAAUGAGGAAAACUGAUGAGCAUGAGUGGCCGAGCCAGAGUCCUGACCCUAACCUGAUUGAUCAUAUCAGGCAGAAAGUCAAGAUUGCUGUCCUCCACUGCUGCCCAACUAACUUACCACAACUUGUAAAAAUGGGUAAGUCUUACUCCACCAGUUUAUGCGAAGCAAAUAGUGAAUUGUCCACAGAGCCAACUGACUGAAAAUCUGCGAAUGGUGGUUCAACCUAGUACUAAGGAAAAGAGGAGUUUUCAACUGCUAACAGGUAGUUUUUCGUUUUUAGUUGCAAUCAAUUUUUAGUUUUUCAUACUUUACAAUUUUGUUUGGCUCCACAGUGAAAAAAGGGAACAUGUGAUUCACAAAUAAAACUUCUCAAGUUAAAUAUAUCAACAUCACUGGCUGUAAUACUCAUUCAUGUGCAUAAAUAGUUGGUGCUCAAUACUUUUACAAAACACUGUUUGGAAAAAGCUGUCAGCUGAAGUGGGAGAUGUCCAUACGACUAAAACUCUUGGGCAGAUAAAUGGAUAGGAGAAAUUCAGAGGGAUGUGGAUCAAAUUCAGGCAACUUCUACGAAUGCAUGUUGGAAGCUUCAAAAGCAUUUGCGAGUUGGGCCGAAGGGCCAGUUUCCAUACUGUUCUCAAUGAGGGAGAGGGAACAGUCCAGAGAGAAAGACGUAGAGUAGAUGGUUACAGAGAGGUGGUGAGGGAUGAAUUGAAUGAAAAGGAGGGAAGGUGACAGAUGACAGCCUGAGUAGACUGUCUGUGAGGGUGCGAAGGUAAGGGAUUCCAGGUAGGGAAAAUCGAGGUCCUUGAUGAACGAGUGGGGAAUGUAAGUGGGUGCAGGACGUGGGAGAGACAGAAUUUCAACAGUAAUGCUCAAUACAAAUUUCCGUCUUUAUCAGGAGUCUCUGAUGGGGCGGCGGUGAGGGUAAUCCCCUCGUAACAAGGGUCACUGAUGGAUGAGAGAUCUCCUUUUGAACAGGGUUGAAAUAUACUUUUUCCAACGAUCCUUAAUGAGGGAGGGAAACUCUCUAGCCUGAAGCGAAGACUCCAGCUUUAAAAAGGAGUUUUUCAUGGGGAAGAGACUUCCACUUUAACAGACAUUUCCUAUCCACCUUUCCAUGGAGGAGAUUAGCCCUCUACAACAGGGUGUGUUGACGUGGGAGAGAUUCCAGUUUCAGAGGCGUCGCGGCUGUGAGGAGAUUCGUCAUCACAACGUUCCCUGAAAGGGUGAGAGAUUCCCUUUCAAACAGGGGUCCCUGAUGGUGGAAACAUGCUCUUUCACAGAGGUCCGCAUGGGAGAGGGACAUUCAUCAACAGCUGUCUCGGUUGUAGAUGUGUCUCCAUCUUUAACAGGAGUUUCAGGUGGCGUCGAGGCUCCAUUUGCAGCACGGCUGUCUGAUCGGAGAGGGACUGCAAUAGGCAGGCGCUCAUGAUGGGGUGGGGAGACUUUUUAGCCAGGGUCAUGAGAAGGGAGUGUCUCACCAUUUACCAGGCACCAGUGAAGGAUAAAGAAACUCCCUCUUUAAAAGGGUUCCUGAUGGAUAAUGACUUAAUUGGUUCAUGAAUGUUCAGUGAAAAAGUUUGUUAUGCAUGCCAUCCAUGAAGAUAACUUUAUUCCCUCAGCACAUCGGGGCAGCACAAAGGUAAACAAUAACAAAAUACGGACUGGUGUUACAUUUACAGAAAACAGAUGUUCCAUAUUGUGACGUCUCUCUCAAUGACGUCACAGAGCUGCCACACCCUGCCAUUCAAAUGGUGUACAGGAUAGACAUUGUGACGUCAGCUUCCUCACUGUCACGUCAUGGAGAUAACACAAAUUACCGUUGAGGUGAUAAUGGAGACGUGGAUUGUGACGUUAAUGUUGAGAGAUCUCCCUCACUGUGGCGUCACAGAGCUGUUCCAGACGGCCGUUGUCGGAAUGUGAGGAUUAGACAUUCACCUGCUGAGCAGAUAGAGCAUCCGUCUGCAUAACCUCCUGGCCAAACGGAAGUCUAGACUUUUUUUGAGUAAAUCAGAAAAGCUCUGGAUAUAUAUUUUUAAAAAAUCGUCAUGAGUAAACAUUGGGAAGCUAAGGAUGUCGCAGAAAUGACGAGGGGAGUCUCGGAGGGCAGGGAACACGAGGCUUAGUGGUUGGGAGACCAGACACAGAGAGAUCACAGAGAGGUCCCCUACAAGAAAGGAGUGUGAUCUGUUGGACAGCAACGUGUCGGAAGUCAUGGGGUAAUUCGUGGGCUUAAACUACAUUGGGGUAAAUGUCACGGUCAAGUGGUCAACGAUGACUCAAUGUCAGUGAGUCUAUCCACUCCACUAUCCGCCACGACAAGCCAUCAAACACAUCAACUCCCUGGAUGCCUACCAUCACUUGGGAUCGUGCGUCGAGCACACCGUCCUCCCAGUCCUCUGGGACCGAGUGUCAGUAGAAUUAUCCUCUACAGUCGGAAAGAUCAUAGGGCCAAACACAGAGAUGAACCCCCUCCACGCAGUCCAAUAGCACAUGCCUGGCGUCAGAAGCAAAGUGAAGCUUUCACCACACCGCCCCGUCACUCAGUCUACGGGUCGGACUCACACUGAACUUGAAAUAAUUCAGAAAACGUGUUGCUCGGUUGAGUUGUUCUUCCAGCUUGGUAAUCCAUUAGCAAACGUUUCGUUGCCAGACGAAGAGGCAUCAUUAUGAUGGUGACGGAGCGUCCGUAAAAGGAUAGCCAAACUCGGAGAACAACUCAACCCAACCAUUAACUACCCGCGCUGCACAUUUUCCCAGUUAUUUCCAACAACUUCGGGUUGUUGAUGAUGUCCCCUCGUAUAGUGACAAAACGUUUGCAAAUAGAUUUCCAAGCUCGAAGGACAACUCACCCCGAUAUACUGAUUUCCUUCUGUUCUU